rnacentral:rRNA from 1 species
CCUACGGGGAGCUGCAGUGGGGAAUAUUGGACAAUGGGCGAAAGCCUGAUCCAGCCAUGCCGCGUGUGUGAAGAAGGCCUUCGGGUUGUAAAGCACUUUCAGUGGGGAAGAAAGCCUUGGGGCUAAUACCCUCGAGGAAGGACAUCACCCACAGAAGAAGCACCGGCUAACUCCGUGCCAGCAGCCGCGGUAAUACGGAGGGUGCGAGCGUUAAUCGGAAUUACUGGGCGUAAAGCGCGCGUAGGCGGUCUGAUAAGCCGGUUGUGAAAGCCCCGGGCUCAACCUGGGAACGGCAUCCGGAACUGUCAGGCUAGAGUGCAGGAGAGGAAGGUAGAAUUCCCGGUGUAGCGGUGAAAUGCGUAGAGAACGGGAGGAAUACCAGUGGCGAAGGCGGCCUUCUGGACUGACACUGACGCUGAGGUGCGAAAGCGUGGGUAGCAAACAGGAUUAGAUACCCGAGUAGUC